GUUGCCAAAGGAUUAAGGAGUAACAGAGGAAAAAAGAAAGCUAAAGAAGUGGGUGCCUCUUCUUUUCUUACCAUUGCUUUUUUCUUAGGAGAAGUGAGGGAAGAAUUCAUGUUCCGAUAAUCAAGUGAAAGAAUGGGGAUUGAGUUUUAAAGAAAGAGAACAAGCAAGUAGGUGAUACAGCUUUAUCAAUGAUUGUACUCUCUAGAAUUUAUCUUGGUC
rnacentral:lncRNA from 1 species